rnacentral:lncRNA from 10 species
GCAAAAUGUUGAGAUUAUGCAUAGAGGGGUCAACAGUGGAAAGAUAUGUGAUAAAACAAGGAUAGUAAAAUACUAAUUGUAAAAUAUAGAUGGUGGGUAUAUGGGAGUUUAAUGUAAUAUUCUUUCAAUUUAUCCUUAUUUUGAAAAUUAUCAUAGUAGAAUGUUGAAAAAAAGGCAGAAAAGUUAAACAGCAUACUGGAAAAGUUUAAAUACCGAACUAGAGGGUAAAUUUGUAGCAAUUUCAAAGACUGUAGCCCAGAAACAAGAAACAGAGACUACGAGAGACUGCUCACUAUGGUGUGCAUGUUCAUGUUCCCCAGAAAUUCGUACGUUGAAAUCUCAGCCCCUAAGGUGAUGGUGUUAGGAGGUGGAGACUUUGGGAGGUGAUUAAGUCUUAAGGGCAUACGAUGAGAUUAGUGCCUUUUAAAAAGAGGUCCCAGAGAGAGCCCAUCCCACUUCUUCCCCUGUGAAACAGCAAGAAGACAGCCAUGUAUGAACCAAGAAACGGGCCCUCACCAGAACCUGACCAUGCUGGCACCUCGAUCUUGGACUUCCCAGCCUUCAGACCUGUGAGAAAUAAAUUUCUGCUGUUCAUAAGCCACCCAGUCUAUGCUGUUUUUGUUAUAGCAGCCUUAACAAACCUAGACACUCAUUAAGUCACCAUGGAGCAACCAGGGCCGCAUUUACCCUUCCACCUGAAACAACAGCAACCACAAAAAACAGACAUAAUAUACAAAACAUUGGUUUUCAAGAUGCUGGACAUCAGGUAAUGAAGGACAGUGACUCCUGUGAGAUAGGAGGGAAAUGAGCUGACCCUACAAUUGCCUCAGCCUGUGAGGGUUCCCAGGCCAGGGCACAGGCAAGAGAGACUGAGGCAGAGCCCAGGGGAUUCCCUGGGUCAGGGAGACGGAGCUGAGAAUGGAGAAAGGCCACAGGGACUAAAGUUCUUGGGGCAAAGUCCCAAAGAAGAGAGAGCUGCGUGGAGAGAGGGAGAGAGCUCAGAGAUCUGCAGAGGGUCUUCCUGAGCCUUCACUGAGUGCUGAGCAGUGCGGAUGUGCCAGGGAACGAUCAGACGCUGGGGACAGAACCACCCAACAGAAUUCAAGAUAAGAGUGCUCAGUGCUGACACGGGACCAGGACCAGGGUCUGUUUCCACCAGCCAGAGCAGAAGCCUGAAGAGUCCCAGACACCAGGGAGGCUUCCCAGAAGAAACUAGCCUCAGCAGUGAGGAAUAAUUAGCCUAGACUGAGCACAGCGCCAGAAUCCCCCACCAAAUCAUGACAGCAACCCGAAGGGAUUGAACUGUUUCCAACAAACUUAACUGCAUCGCAGAACAAAGCACACAAUUAUUUAUAGGAACACAAACAUAUCCAGCACCCAGCGAAGUAAAAUUCAUGGUGUCUGACAUCCAAUAAAAAAUAACCAGUCAUGCAAAGAAGGAAAAUAUGACCCAUAGUAAGGAGAUAAAUACAUCAAUCAAAACUGACAUAGAACUGACACAGAAGCCAGGAUUAGCAGACAAGGACAUUAAAACAGUUAUUAUAACUGUGUUCCAUAUGUUCAAAAAGUCAAGGAGAGACAUAUUUGCCUUUUUGCUUUUUUUCUCUGCUGAAUAAUUCUGUCCAAAAACUAAGAUCACGGAGGCUCAAGUCGAUCUGCCUGGUUCAAUUUCCAGCUCUGAGACUUACAGGCUCUCAUACAGUGUAGCCGGGGCUGGGGCUGGACACAGUGUCUGAGCUCUGGCAGGGUGAGGAGGUGCAGGUAUUAGGAGACAGAGCACACACCCAAGCGUGGCCUGAUUCAAAAGUAAAUAUGCAUAUUCAUGGCUGGGCGCCGUGGCUCACGCCUGUAAUCCCAACACUUUGGGAGGACGAGGCGGGUGGAUCACUUGAGGUCAGGAGUUUGAGACCAGCCUGACCAAUGUAGCGAAACCCCAUCUCUAUGUGGUUUGUAAAAAUACAAAAUUUAGCCAGGCGUGGUAGCGAAUGCCUGUAAUCCCAGCUACUUGGGAGGCUGAGGCAGGAGAAUCGCUUGAACGCGGGAGGCGGAGGUUGCUGUGAGCCAAGGUCACACCACUGCACUCCAGCCUGAACAAUAAGAGCAAAAAUCCUUCUCAAAAAUAAAAAAAUACAAAAGUAAAUAUACAUAUUCAGAAAAAUAGGAGCAGCUUUCUAGGGAUCAGAAAAGGGAGAUACAAAAUGAGAAGGGAGAAAUUAGACUGAAUUAGAGAUAUUGGGCUUUGCAUGGUGGCUCACCCUUAUAAUCCCAGUGCUUUGGGAUGCUGAAGUGGGAGAAUUCCUUGAGCCUAGGAGUUUGAGACCAGUUUGGGCAACAUAGUGAGACCCGGUGUCUACAAAAAAUGUAAAAAAUUAGUUGGAUGUGGUGGCGUGUGCCUGUAGUCCCCGCUACUUGGGAGGCUAAGGUGGAAGGAUCGCUUGAGCCCAGGAGGUUGAGGCUGCAAUGAGCUGAGCUCAUACUACUGUACUCCAGCCUGGGCAUCAGAGUGAGACCCUGUCUUAAGAAAAAAAAUUAGAGAUAUUGGUGUGAGCUCAUGGUUUUCAGUAUAUACAGAUGGAUAAUAAAAUAAAUAUAGAUGUUGAUGUGUGCACACGCACACACAGAGACACACACAUUCCCCGGCUCUGUCCACCAAGCAGAUCUAGGGGCAGCCUCACCGUCACCCUGACAUGGAGACACUUCUGAUUAGAGGUCAAAGAAGAGAUGUGUCCAAAGAGGAGAAACCUCAGAUCCAGUUAUAACUUGGUAGUUUCGGGCAGCUUUUCUUCAAAGAAUGUUUUUAAUCUUUAUAAGUCAUAAAAACAAAUCAAGUAUGUCAAUAAACACUACAUUUCUACAUUCGAAAAAUUAUUUUUAUAUACAGUAGCUUAUUUAUUGCAUAGACAAAUCAUAGAAAAGUAAUUACAGGCUUUGGGUUAGUCUUGGGAUCCUAUUUCAGCUCUAACAUUCACUCACUUUGUAACUCUUGGGAACCACGUGAUCUCUCUGAGCCUCAGUUUCCUCAAACAUAAAACAAAUAUAUUUACCUUCAUAAGGUUUUAUAUUUUUAAUUAGAUUGUACAGAUCCCCACCAUGCAUGGCAUAAAGUAAAUGCUCAGCAAAUGAUAGUUAUCAGCACAUUUGCACAUGGUGUAAAUUGGGCAGGUUUUUUUUGUUGUUGUUGCUUUUUUUUUUUCUUUUUUGAGAUGGAGUCUGGCUCUGUCACCCAGGCUGGAGUGCAGUGGCACAAUCUUGGCUCACUGCAACCUCCACCUCCCAGGUUCAAGCAAUUCUCCUGCCUCAGCCUCCUGAGUAGCUGGGAUUACAGGCACCUGCCACCAUGCCUGGCUUUUUUUUUUUUUUUUUUUUUUUGUAUUUUUAGUAGAGAUGGGGUUUCACCAUGUUGACCAUGCUGGUCUCUAACUCCUGACCUCAAGUGAUCCACCCUCCUCGGCCUCUAAAGUGCUGGGAAUAUAGGCAUGAGCCACCACACCAGGCCAAAUUGGGCAGUUUUUUCUGAUUUUAGUUUAACGGGAGAAAAAAGACAAAGGUUGGCAAAGACGUCAGAGCAGAACAUAUGAAUUCAGUUAACUAUUUAUUUAUUUAUAUUGAGAUGAAGUCUCACUCUGUCGCCCAGGCUGGAGUGCAGUGGCUUGAUCUCAGCUCACUGCAACCUCCACCUCCUGGGUUCAAGCCAUGCUCCUGCCUCAGCCUCCUGAGUAGCUGGGACUACAGGCACCCACCACCAUCCUCCCAAAGUGCUGGGAUUACAAGUGUGAGCCACCAUGCCCAGCCACAAAUUAUUUAUAAAUAGAAUAUGCAUGGAGGGAGGAAGACCUUCCAGAGGCAGGGAGAACAGGAGCAAAUCCCCGGCGUGGGCAGUAGCAGGAGAUAUACAGGCUAUACUGGCUGGGGCUGAUGGUGGCAGAGGUGCAAGGAGGCACGAAGGAAGUGAGGAUCCAGAGGAUCUGUGCCAGGUUAUGUGGGCUAAACUAAUACAGGCUGAACUAAGCCAAAGAACUUUGGCCCGGCCAGGCACGAUGGCUAACACCUGUAAUCCCAGCACUUUGGGAGGCUGAGGCAGAUGGAUUGCUUGAGUCCAGGAGUUUGAGACCAGCCUGGACAACAUGGCAAAAGCCUGUCUCUACGAAAUUUUUUUUUUUUAAAAGCCAUGCACCUGUAGUCCCAGCUACUCGGGAGGCUGAGGCAGGAGGAUCACUUGAGUCCCGGAGGUCAAGACUGCAGUGAGCCAAGAUCACAUCACUGUACUCCAGCCCGGGCAACAGAGUGAAGCCCUAUCUCAAGAAAACAAAACAAAACAAAACGAAACUUUAGCCAUUAUUGUGUUGCAUGGACUCUCGUAUUCAUGAUUUAUAGCCCACUAGACCACACUUUGUCUAGAUAUCUCUUCAUAGAGAGCAGCCUCUGAUUUAGGGCAGUUAUUCAUUAGAUUGUGCUGUGUCCAAGUCAGGAGCCCCCAGCUGCCCUUGGUUUCACGAAUGAACACGACUUUUUGUUGUUGCUUGAUGAGGCGUAUUUAAGAGUGGGGAGCUAUUGCUAACAUGAGUAGAAGUUCUGUACAUGUAAACUCCCUGGGGUGUUUCCCCAAGAUUCACCGGCUGGGAAGAUCCUGAUGGGCAGCCUCUCCAUAGGGGGACACAUGCACAUCUCAAGCACUCAAGAGGAAUUCAGGCUCAGGGGACGCAACGCAUGUCAAGAAAAGUAUAUGGUUCCAAAAAGGCUAAAGGAACUGGAAGUAUUUAAAGAUGGAAUGAUUUCAGGCAAUAAACUCCCUCCCACCCAAACAACUAAGCAAGUAAAGGAAUAAUGUAAAGAGGGUGCUUGCACACCUCUUGCCCAAAAUCUCAGAGAUUCAAGAUUUUGACAUUUCUCCUUUUUUUUUUUUUUUUUUUUGAGACAGAGUCUUGCUCUAUUGCUCAGGCUGGAGUGUAGUGGCACGAUCUUGGCUCACUUCAGCCUCUGCCUCCCAGGUUAAAGUGAUUCUCCUGCUUCAGCCUCCCAAGUAGCUGGGACUACAGGCACAUUCCACCACACCCGGCUAAUUUUAGUAUUUUUAGUAGAGAUGGGGUUUUGUCAUAUUGGCCAGGCUGGUCUCAAACUCCUGGCCUCAAGUGAUUCACCUGCCUCAGCCUCCCAAAGUGCUGGGAUUUCAGGGGUGGGCCACUGCACCCUGACAUUUCCUCUUUGACUCUAAUCAGAAGUGUUUCCAUGAUGGCGCGUGUGCAGUAGGACUUAAAGGACACUGCAGCUCCAGAGACUCCACCCUCAACUCAACAAAGACUUAGAAUUAGCUUUACUGGUCAUCGUAAAGGGUGGAACUUGGUCCUCCUUCCAGAGGGAGGGGUGGAGCUGGGCACUGUUUCUCCAUCAAUGUGUCUUGGCAGUUGGGAUAUUUAGAGAUAUUUAGAAUGUAUUAUGAUUUGGGGUCUGUAUACUCCACUUUGAAAAAUUCUGCACAGGGGGAGGAAGUACAGAUAGGGGUAACUAUUGUGGAGAGGAAAAAGAGGAUAUAUAGCUCUAACAAGGAAGAAAGGCCUAAGGAGAAGGUGUUAGAGACUGGAAUCAAUGAAAGAAAGGCAUGAGAAAUCAUUGAAAAAUUAAUAAGGGCUUGGCAUGGUGGCUCACACCUGUAAUCUCAACAUUUUGGGGGCCGAAGAGGGCAGAUUACUUGAGGUCAGGAGUUCAAGACAAGCCUGGCCAACAUGGCAAAACCCUAUCUUUACUAAAAGUACAAAAAUUAGCCAGGCGUGGUGGCGGGUGCCUGUAACCCCAGCUACUCAGGAGGUUGAGGCCAGAGAAUGGCUUGAGCCCGAGAGGCGGAGGUUGCAGUGAGCUGAGACACACCACUGCAAUUCCAACCUGGGCAACAGAGUGAGACUCUAUCUCAAAAAAAAAAAAAAAAGAAAAGAAAAGGAAAAAGGACAAGAAAAACACAAUAAAUAUUCAUUUUUAAAAACUGAUGAGUUUUUACAUCCAUAAGGCUGUGCCUGAAAAAAAUAAUAAUAAAAACAAUUGAUGAGUUUCUUAACAUGAGUUACUCAGUGUUAUGGGAGGCACCAGGGAUACAGUAAAUAACACAAAGCUGCCCUUGAGGAGCUCACAUUUCCAUGGGAAGUCAGACAUCCAUGCCAUGAACUCUAAUGCCAUGGGUGGUCCUCCAGCAUAGCUUUAUGGGAAUGUGAGUGGGGAGGAAGAAGCAUCCACCUGCCUAGAGAGGUCAGGGAAGGCCUGAGAGCACCAAACACCUGGACUGAGGCCAAGAUGGGCCCAGUGAGCCAGGUCCACCUGUCAAUACAGAGUGCGGGUCCAGCUGUCAAUAUAGAGGGCAGGUCCAGCUGUCAAUAUGAAGGGUGGGUCCAGCUGUCAAUACAGACGGUUGAUCCAGCUGUCAAUACAGAGUGAGGGUCCAGCUAUUAAUAUAUAGGGCAGUUCCAGCUGUCAAUACAGAGGGUGGAUCCACGUGUGAAUACAGAGGGUGGGUCCAGCGGUCAAUACAGAGGGUGGGUCCAGCUGUCAAUACAGAGGGUGGGUCCACCUGUCAAUACAGAGGGUGGGUCCAACUGUCAAUACAGAGGGCGGAUCCACCUGUCAAUACAAAGGGCGGGUCCAACUGUCAAUAGAGAGGGUGAGUCCACCUGUCAAUAGAGAAAGAAGAUUCACCCGUCAAUACGAAGGGAUCCACCUGUCAAUACAGAGGGCGGGUCCACCUGUCAAUACAGAGGGCGGGUCCACCUGUCAAUACAGAGAGAAGAUCCACCUGUCAAUACGGAGGGAGAGUUCACCUGUCAAUACAGAGGGCGGGUCCACCUGUCAAUACAGAGGGCAGGUCCAGCUGUCAAUACAGAGCAAGGAUCCACCUGUGAGUACAGAGACAGGAUCCACCUGUCAAUACAGAGAGAGGAUUCACCUGUCAAUACAGAGGGCAGGUCCAGCUGUCAGUAUAGAGGGAGGAUCCAUCCGUCAGUACAGAGAGAGGAUCCACUUGUCAAUACAGAGGGUGGAUCCAGCUGUCAGUACAGAGGGAAGAUCCAACUGUCAAUACAGAGGGUGGGUCCAGCUGUCAGUAUAGAGGGAGGAUCCACCAGUCAGUACAGAGGAGGGAUCCACUUGUCCAUAUAGAGGGCGGGUCCAGCUGUCAGUAUAGAGGGAGGAUCCACCUAUCAGUACAGAGGAAAGAUCUACUUGUCAAUACAGAGGGCGGGUCCAACUGUCAAUACAGAGGGCAAGUUCAGCUGUCAGUAUAGGGGGAGGAUCCACCUGUACAGAGGACGGGUCUAGCUGUCAGUACAGAGGGAGGAUCCAACUGUCAAUACAGAGGGCGUGUGUAUUAGUUCAUUUUCGCACUGCUGAUAAAAGACAUACCUGAGACUGGGUAAUUUAUAAACAAAAAAGAGGCUUAAUAGACUUACAGUUCCACAUGGCUGAGGAGGCCUCACAAUCAUGGUGGAAGGCAAAAGGCACGUCUUACAUGAGGGCAAACAAGAGAAUGAAAGCCAAGCAAAAGGGGUUUCCCCUUAUAAAAACAUCAGCUCGCAUGAGACUUAUUCACUACCAAGAAAACAGUAUGGGGGAGACUGUCCCCAUAAUUCAAUUAUCUCCCACUGGGUCCCUCCCACAACACGAGGGAAUUACGGGAGCUACAACUCAAGAUGAGAUUUGGGUGGGGACAUAGCCAAACCAUAUCAGUGUAUUGACCAUUUCAGCUGUCAAUACAGAGGGUGGGUCCACCUGUCAAUACAGAGGGCAGGUCCAGCUGUCAAUACAGAGGGUGUGUCCAUCUGUCAAUACAGAGGGCAGGUCCAGCUGUCAGUACAGAGAACGGGUUCACCUGUCAAUAGAGAGGGCAAAUUCACCUGUCAAUACCGAGGGCCUUGUCUCAAAAAAAAAGUUUUUUUAGUGAAGAGCAAAAGUUUGGAUUUUAUUGUACUGUAGAUACCCAAUGGGGUUUUUGUUGAGGGGCAAUGGUUUGAGAUAAAGUCUCACUCUGUUGUCCAGGCUGGAGUGCAGUGGUGAGAUCAUAGCUCACUACAGCCUCAGACUCCUAGGCUCAAGUGAUCCUCCGGUCUCAGCCUGGUGAGUAGCUGGGACUACAGGCAU